CGUUAAAGCUAUAUCUACCGUUUACAUACUAGGAUGGAGGUUUGUACCAACGAAGUCAAACAAUAGAAUGAAAAAGAUGAGCAAAGAAUUAAAAACGUUGCUCUUCGACGUUAUCAACAAAAGGCAAAGGGCUAUGAUGGCAGAUGAAGCUAUGCAAACUGAUCUAUUAAGCAUCCCCUUAAAAUCAAAUUUGAAAGAAAUUCGAGAG